rnacentral:rRNA from 1 species
AGAGUUUGAUCCUGGCUCAGGACAAACGCUGGCGGCGUGCCUAACACAUGCAAGUCGAACGGACCUUGGUUGGUAGCAAUACUAGGCAAGGUUAGUGGCGGACGGGUGAGUAACGCGUGGAUAACCUGCCUCGGAGUGGGGGAUAACAGUUCGAAAGGACUGCUAAUACCGCAUAGGCUCACAGGAUGGCAUCAUCUGGU